rnacentral:lncRNA from 1 species
UGAUAUGCAAAAUGUAGAGAUGUUACAUAACUUAUCAUAUGUUUAGUUACAUGCAUACAGAUAUAGUUAUGUAAAUAUAUGUUUUGUAAAUUGCAGAAACAACAAAGUUCGUUAAACUAAUAAAUUUUAGAAGAUUUUAUUCAAAGUUUUUGUAUGAUUAAAGUGCAGCUUGAAUCUCGAUGCUAGUUAGUAGGAAUCAUGUUACAACCAAGCAUCAUUAAACCUUUUGCCGUUCAGGAUAUGCUUUUAUUUUUUGCAAAGUGACAAUUACAUUAAAGGUUUUCAUACAAGAAGCUCUUAUGCAAGAGACACUAUAUACUUACCGUAAGAGACACCAAAUACUUACCGUAAGAGACACCAAAUACUUACCGUAAGAGACACCAAAUACUUACCUUAAGAGACACCAAAUAUGAGAUUAGUGUAAGUAGUCUAAUUAAAAGUUUAUAAAAAUCCUGAUGUCAAUUAAAUUCGAAAAGAAUUCUUUUUUAAAUAAGAUCUAGGGUAAAUUAUCAUAUCAGUGGGUAAUGUUGACGACCCAGCAGUUCAAGUUUAGCUUAAAUGUUUGUCCUCUUACAAAGUUGGACAUUUGAAUCGUUGGCUAUUAUAUAGUAGAGAUAAAUUGCAACAUAUUUAUACUCUUAAAGAGGUAUGUGAUUAAGGUGCCCCAAGAAGUCCUUACGGUCUUAUCACAGAGCUCUGCGGAAGAGCUUUUGAAAAGAAGUUCACACUUCCUUGCGGAUGUUAUUAAACUUGCCCAAAGGUGGCGUUGAACCAGGGAUCUCUAGUUUCUGAGUAUAAAACUAUGGAAAGUGGAACGUAAACCAAUCUUAAAACAUGGCACAAUAUCUAAAUUGGGUGAAAGUUCCAUUUUAGAAAACUGCUUUAAACCACUUUGCGCAAUUGAAUUCUCAACUAGAAAGAAUAAAAUAAAAUUAAUUAGUUUAUUGUUGAUGUAAAAUGAAAGACAACGAGAAAUAAAUUCAUUGAAGAAAAUCCCAAUAAAAGACACGGAAAUUAAAAAGCUUCUGGGAUAUGUUAGGAAAGAAAUGAACUUACUUAAGAAGAUAGCCUUAAAAAAACUUUUGAACGAAUUAAUUUUUUUAUCACAUUAUCGCCACUUAGCAAAGACUUUUAAUGGAAACAAAUUCAAGGUUGACGUUUUUUCAUGUUGGCUAAUAAACUAAAAACCAUUCAUUUCUCUGCAAAUAGAAUCUCAAAAAGAUCGAUGUAAAUUACGAAAACUACAAGUAAAACAUUACGUAACAAAAAUUUGAAAAGUUUAGGUUAUCUACAAAGCAAAUAUGACGCGUAAAAUAACAAAAAUGAUACAGGUACGCCCUUUAACAAUAUUAACAACCUUUUUUUGAAUAACAGGAUUACACUCUUCAAGUAGAAUCAAAUGAAUGGUCAAAUGUAAGUAUAAAGUUUAUUGCUGAUAAAAAGCAUAGUUUUCAUCAUGAAAAACCAGUUAUUUUUUCCACACACAACUGCGUUUACGGAAGAGAUGGUUUUUGAGGUUGACAACAAAAUGCAGCAAAUCAGUUGAUAGUGAUAUUUGAUCAAAAUUUUAAAAAAAAUAAAGUUGUUAAUAUAUUUUAAUUUAAUAUUGUUGUUAACAGGACAAUGUAUUCGCCUAGAUAUAAUAAAAGUAGGGAACAGUGAAAAAUGUUUUUAAUAAAAUGAAAUAAAAGUUUUGAAAAU